rnacentral:rRNA from 1 species
CUACGGGGUGCUCCAGUGGGGAAUAUUGCACAAUGGAGGAAACUCUGAUGCAGCAACGCCGCGUGGAGGAUGACACUUUUCGGUGUGUAAACUCCUUUUAUAUGUCAAGAAAAUGACGGUAGCAUAUGAAUAAGCACCGGCUAACUCCGUGCCAGCAGCCGCGGUAAUACGGAGUGUGCAAGCGUUACUCGGAAUCACUGGGCGUAAAGGACGCGUAGGCGGGUUGGAAAGUCAGGUGUGAAAUCCUACAGCUUAACUGUAGAACUGCACUUGAAACUUCUAAUCUAGAGUAUGGGAGGGGGAGAUGGAAUUAGUGGUGUAGGGGUAAAAUCCGUAGAUAUCACUAGGAAUACCUAAAGCGAAGGCGAUCUCCUGGAACAUUACUGACGCUAAGGCGUGAAAGCGUGGGGAGCAAACAGGAUUAGAUACCCUCGUAGUC